rnacentral:tRNA from 1 species
ACCCCUGUAGCUCAGCUGGAUAGAGCAUCGGUUUCCUAAACCGGUUGUCGGAGGUUCAAAUCCUCUCAGGGGUA